rnacentral:lncRNA from 1 species
CGGGCGAGCACGGGGGCUGCGGGCGGGGCCCGGGGAGCUCCGUGCCGGGCAGCUCCCGCGGGAGGGCCCCGGCCCCGGCCCCGGCCCCGCCGGGCAGCUCCACGUGCCCGCAGCCGCAGGCCCGCGGCGAGCGGCAGCUCCGGGCUGGGGCGGGCCGCAAGGCGCUCUGGGAGUUGUAGUCCCCGGCCUGGCGCGGGGCCCUACCCGCCGCCCUGCCCCGCUCCCGCCGGCUCCUCGCUGCCGCCCGCGGGGGUCCCGUGGCCGCUGCCCCGCCUCGGCGCCCGCCGGACUACAGCUCCCGGCGGGCCCCGCUCGCGCCCGGGCUUCCGCUUCUCCCGCGCGGCGCCCCCUGGGGCUUGUAGUCUCCCCUCGCUAUUCACGACGGCCUCUGCGCCGUUUCCGCGCCGUAGCGGCCGGAGGCCGGAAUGGGGCGCUACGCCACGGCGGCGGCCCAGGCAGCGUGCCCCUCCAGACAUCCUUCCGUGCGCAUGCAGAUCUCCAGGGGGAUCCUGCCCUGUUGCUAAUUGUCGAGAGCUGUCCAGAAUCCUUAUCGUUAAGACCCUGCUGCGCUCGUGAGGCGCUCUGUUACCCGAUACAGCCGAGCCCGGCACCGCGACGCUCAGCAGCCGCCGUGGAGCAAGGCCAGCGGAGGGAGCAGGGCCGUACAGCCACAGCCCAAGGUGCUGACAGCAGAGCGAAGAGCCCGAGCCGACCCAAAAGCGCGCGACUCCCGUCUCCAGGUGGGACCGAGCGCCGGCCCGUCGCCAGCCCGAUGCCGCAGGAAGCACCGAGCCCUCUGGGAGCUGCAGUUCGGGUGGACGCCGAGUGAGCGACCCGAAAUGUGAGCAGCUCGGCGCAGCUGCCGCUCCUCCUGGCAGGCGCAGCGGUGCCGGCGGUUCUGCGCAGAGACCAUCUAGCAUGCUCCUCCAGCCGCGCCGCUCAGCUGGCGCCAGCAGCAGCCGUUCGAUCCCGGGGACGCCGGGCUGACCUCGCACCAAGCGGGCAUCGCCUCUGCAGAGCAGAAGCCGGGUCGG